GAUGAAGAACGUAGUGAAAUGCGAUAAGUAAUGUGAAUUGCAGAAUUCCGUGAAUCAUCGAAUCUUUGAACGCACAUUGCGCCCUUUGGUAUUCCUUAGGGCAUGCCUGUUCGAGCGUCAUUUAAACCUUCAAGCUAAGCUUGGUGUUGGGUGACUGUCCGCUUCACGGCGGACUCGCCUCAAAAUUAUUGGCGGCCGGUACAUUGGCUUCGAGCGCAGCAGAAACGCGAACUCGGGCCCGUCGUAUUGGCUCCCAGAAGCUAUCUUCACAAUUUUGACCUCGGAUCAGGUAGGGAUACCCGCUGAACUUAAGCAUAUCAAUAAGCGGAGGA
rnacentral:misc_RNA from 1 species